UAUAAGUGAAGUUCAUGUAAUAACAUUUAAUGUUUGUCCUUAAGGACAGUUCUAGCAGGACAAUGACCAAAUUUACACAUGAAGAGUCACAAAGACAUUUUUUUUUUAAAUAUAGCCCUAAAAGUCCCUACUUGAAUCCAAUUGAGAACGUUUGGAUAAUUCUUACCCAAAUAGUUUAUGUCAAUGAUAUACAAUAUAACAGUCUAUUGGAAUUAGACUGCAAAAAAUACCACGUGGUUUAAUCACAACUACUUUUUUUAACUCAGUAUUUAUCUCAAGGGGAACUCAGUACUUGGGGUUUGUGCUCUCGGGCGCUAGUUCGAUUUUAAAUAUGGGCUGUGCGACUUUUGCCCUGUAAACCAUGUGGUGGCCUAAUCAUUGGGUUGGCUAUGUCUGUGAUUUUUUUCAAAAGACGACCAUGGCCUGCAUUGCUUGGAACUGGAUUUGGUAUUGGUGUCGCAUAUAGAACA